AUUGAACGCUGGCGGCAGGCCUAACACAUGCAAGUCGAGCGAGCGGCGGACGGGUGAGUAAUGUCUGGGAAACUGCCUGAUGGAGGGGGAUAACUACUGGAAACGGUAGCUAAUACCGCAUACCAUCAGAUGUGCCCAGGUGGGAUUAGCUAGUAGGUGGGGUAACGGCUCACCUAGGCGACGAUCCCUAGCUGGUCUGAGAGGAUGACCAGACACACUGGAACGGAGACACGGUCCAGACGACUACGGGAGGAAGCAGGGGGGAAUAUUGAACAAUGGGCGCAAGCCUGAUGCAGCCAUGCCGCGUGUGGGAAGAAGGCCUUCGGGUCGUAAAGCACUGUCAGCGGGGAGGCGGUACCCGAAGAAGAAGCACCGGCUAAAUCCGUGCCAGCAGCCGCGGUAAUAC
rnacentral:rRNA from 1 species